rnacentral:rRNA from 1 species
AGUGAACGCUGGCGGUAGGCCUAACACAUGCAAGUCGAACGGCAGCACAGGAGAGCUUGCUCUCUGGGUGGCGAGUGGCGGACGGGUGAGGAAUACAUCGGAAUCUACUCUGUCGUGGGGGAUAACGUAGGGAAACUUACGCUAAUACCGCAUACGACCUACGGGUGAAAGCAGGGGACCUUCGGGCCUUGCGCGAUUGAAUGAGCCGAUGUCGGAUUAGCUAGUUGGCGGGGUAAAGGCCCACCAAGGCGACGAUCCGUAGCUGGUCUGAGAGGAUGAUCAGCCCCAAUGGAACUGAGACACGGUCCAGACUCCUACGGGAGGCAGCAGUGGGGAAUAUUGGACAAUGGGCGCAAGCCUGAUCCAGCCAUACCGCGUGGAUGAAGAAGGCCUUCGGGUUGUAAAGCCCUUUUGUUGGGAAAGAAAUCCAGCCGGCUAAUACCCGGUUGGGAUGACGGUACCCAAAGAAUAAGCACCGGCUAACUUCGUGCCAGCAGCAGCCGCAG